UUUCCCUGGGAGCAGGAGCGAGAGAAGCGAACUCUCAAGUUGUGCCCGGGGAAAAGUUGCCCGGCUGGGGGGCGCCGGGCGGGAUCCUGAGCGGCGGCACCCGCCUGGCCCUGUUUGAUGCUGGGUUCUUGCCUUGUUCCUCGGGGAACCCGGGGAAAGGGCAGGCUUUGCCUAAGAAGCUUCCCGUAGUCGUAUGGAGAGAAGGGGAGAAAGAAAACAACCUAUCUUCAGAGCGGCACCUCGCCUUCUUCUGUCUUCUGCUCUCCUGGCCGGGGCUGGAAGAGGGGCUGAGGGGAGCCGGAGCAGUGCUCCGUGCCCUGCCUGGUGCCGGCUCUCCCCGCUCGUAGCCCCUCCUAAAGAAACACGUCCGAGCCCUCGUGGCGAAGAAUCAAAACCAACAAAAGUUGGAUCUUUUUCGGAAAGGGGGCCCGGGGGGCGCCGAGCCCGCCGCACGCUCGGCAGCGGCGGAGCGCUCGCCGCGGCUGGGACUUGACCUGCAGAGGGCAAUAGUUGGACGCAAAUGCUAACAAAGGCGGCGAGGCUCGUUGGCUCGGCACCGUGGCCGGGACCCAAGAAUGCUGUGUAGCCCACAUUCAUCUGAGAGGCGAUCGCCGGGGACAUGGGAAGCAAGAGCAGCCGCCGAUGUGUGAAAGCAACGAGACAUGGCCAGCCAGAGGCGCCGGGGUCCCUUCCCGGGGUUUGUUAACAUGGUAAUCCGGCACCAGGAGAGAAAGCUGCUUUCUGCUGCCCAGAGCCCAUUCCCCAUCACACAUCAGAUGACUCCCUGGUUUUACACACAGUUGGAGUUCUGCUCGAAACCUGGAUUUAAAGGGAAUCUGUUGCUGCGUGUGACAUCUCUUGCAAGCUCCCAGAGAGAAUUGAUGGAGCAUACAGCUAGGGAAUAGGAUACCAGAGAAGCACAGAGGAAGAAACCAGGCAAUCACCAGGAUGGGAAGGUUCAGCGUCCAUUGGAUAUGGGACAAGAUCACUCGGCAACCCUUGUGGAUUCUCCUUCUUCUAGAGGGGAAUUAUAGUUAUGGAUUUAUUGUCCCGGUGCAGCACUUCCAGCAGCAGCAGCAACAGCAGCAGCAGCUUUCUGACUCUCUUCGGUGACGGGUAUUCUUGGGUGGAUAAUACGGAUUACGUUGUUAUUGCUUAAGAAUACGCGUAGUCGAGGAGAGUACCGGCGGCGGGCAGGCAGGCAGGCAGCGCGACCGCCCCCAGCCCACCAGCUGGCUCCUAACCUCCUCUAGUUGCCAAGGUAGCACCUUUUCCAUCUUUUCCUACGCUUUGCAAUGUUUCACUCUGUCUGUGUCUCUGCCCGGGCGGGGGGAGCCCUGUCCCCCACGGAGGAGGGUGCCCGCGUGUGUGUGUGUGUGUGCGUGGGAACAAGCACAGAGCUGGGGAGGGCCGGGGAAAGGCUUGCCAAGCCUCGCAGGGGCACGCCGCGGGCGGCGGGGGCUGCGGGCAGGGGGUGACCGGGGGAGCCGAGGCCACUGCGGGGUGCGCCUCCGCGGGCAGCACCUCCGGGGGGAAGGUGCUCGCCCCGUCCGGGAAGGCCCGGUGCCCCGGCACACGGCCGGCAGCCCCCAGCCCGCCCGGGGCCCGCGGCCCCCUGCCCCUCUGCGGCGGGGAGGGCGGGGCGGGGAUGGGGGGACCGGGGCGGCCGGCCCCGCCUGCCGGGGGGGGUCCCCCCUCCCCCCGAGACACGGGUUGCCCGCAGGGCCGGGGCGGCCCCGGCUCCGCCCGCACCCGCCGGCAGCGCCCGGAAUGCCGCCCCCUCCGCGGCCGCGGCCCCCGCGCCCACAGCAGCCGGGUCGUGCGGGGCUGGGGGGCUGCCCGCGGGCGGGGAGGCGCGGAGCACCCGUGCUAGCCGGGCAAGGGGCACCCCGCGGGGCUGUGGCUGUGCCCUACCGCCCGGGGAACCUGCUGUUCCCCGGCUGCGCGGGGUCCGGCCACCCGGCAGGGCCGCUACUGGGGAGCAGGUUGUGGCCGGUUGCUUCGAGGGGGUGAUGCCCCCCUGCCCCCCAUAUCCUCACCCCGCAGUACCAGCCUGGUGAAGGCAGGAUUAAGAACCCACGUUCACACUAGCCCCAGCUCGGGAAGCACCCAGCUGAAUGCAGAGCUCAUCAGCCUCUGAGGCCCCAGGUUGAGAUCCAUGUUUAGGGCCAGGGCUGAGGGGUUGCUUCCCCCCCUGGAGCUCAGGUGGUGGCUUCUUUGUUCCCCCGCCCCGCAAAGAGCUCAGGACUCCCCAAAUGGUACUUGCAGCUGGGCAGGUGGGAGACACAACCAAGGGAAUGUUGAUUUCCGUUACUGGCCAAGCCAUGCGCCAUCUCUUUAACACAGAGGAAGAGGUGCAUCCGUCCCUCUCUCCAAUCUCAGCAGCAGGGCACAGGCUUUGGUUAAAAGCCUGGUCAGCCUUUCAGGUGCUGUGCUUAGGAAAAUCCAGGCAUAGCAUUCAUACUUCCAGUCUUUUUUUCCCCUGCUCCCCUGCCCCCAAGACUGGCAGAGACACGGAGCAGGGUGUGAUCAUCCCUAUGUUUCCCCAGUUGAGAUCUCUCCGCAUGACCAGAGGAUGCCAGGUCUUGCUGCCACGUAGUCGCAAUUGUGAGACCAGAUUUCAGCCUUAAGUGAAUUAGAUCAGAAGCCAUUUUAAAGCAAGACCAAGAGUACAGUGAUGAGAUAGCCUUUUUGAAUGGAUCCUUCCCCAAGCUCAGCUGUGAUGAGGCUACAAACGAUUUUUAAAAUGGACGAGCCAGACGUGGGGUGAUCGUUAAGUUGUGAGUGUGAGGUGGGAUGAUGGAGAAUGUCUUUCUCUGUCUCUUGCUUAGUGAUUGAAAGGCCGUCUAUGUUCUGCUUAAUUAUUUCCAACAACUGCCAAAGGAAUCUUACUCUGUCGCCUUCAGUAGCGAGUGGAGCGCUCGUUGUUACACAGACGUGUGGAUCUGUUAUUCUUUAGACACAUCUUUGAUGCUAGCACUCUGAUCCUCAUGUUUCUCUAAUACUACUUGAAAGCAGAUUUUUUUCUUGUAGUUUAGUAUGUUCAACAGCCUCAGAAAUAAUGUUAAAUUAUGCUUUAAAAAGACACAAUCAGCUGCUAAAUCAUAGUCAGUUCAGCACCACAACACAGCUACAGUCACAAGUGCUGCAGGAACAGCGAUGGAAACACUAUUUUAAACAUCCAGGUUUGUAUUACAAACCUUCCUCUGAUCUGAGCUUUUAGUUGACAUUUUCCCUUGAGUCAUGACUUAGAGUAUUAUCAGGAGUUCCCAUUUCAUCACAUAAAGGAUGUGGUUUUGUUUGCUCUUUGCUUGGUUGAGUAUCUCGUGCAGUAUGAUUUGGACUGGUACCCAUAAAUACAAGCUUAGCAAAAUGUUUCUUUAUACCUGGUUUCUUCUAGUUGCUUUCUGUUUAGCAUGAUGAGCUGGUUUUGCUGAAUAAUGCCUUAAUGACAGGGCUGAUGCAUUUUUAAUGCGUGUACUCUUUGUCAUUGUCAAAAUUAACAUUUUGAUGAUUGUAGAUUUCUUUUCUCUAAAAUCUUUUGGGAAUUGCUAUGAUGUGUGGGUUAAAAGAGUGAAACUGUAAGGUCUGAUGGGAGAAAUACUGGAUAUGGUCACCAAAAUAAUUAUAAAAUAUUGUGUGAAGGCUCAAUAGCAUAAGGGCUCUUAGAAUGAUGUUUCCCAAUAGCACGCUCUCAGAGUGGCUCUCCCCGUUCAUUAGCAGUUCCUGGGGUCUGUCACGUAUGUAUAUUGAAGGACAGAGGCAGUCGUUUCUGAACAACAGAUCUCUAAGAAGAGACUAUUUAUACUGCGGGCCCGAUCCUGGGAAUGCACGUAGCUUCCAUGGGACUGCUCAGGGGAGCAAGGUUGCUCGUGUUAAAUCCAAAAUAUUUUGGGCCAAAUCCUACCAUUCAAUGCAAUUGAUUUCACUGCGGGAAAGAUUAGACCCCUAGUGAAAGGGAUUUUUACAACACCACACUUCCUAUUUUUUGGCUUUAGAAAUUGUGAAUCCUGUGUGCUAAAAAAUGAGUCUAAAAACCCCCUGCCUCUAAUAGUCUAAUGAUAUUUUAUUAACAGCAAAAAUUAUACUAAAAGGCUAUAGGGCAACAUAGUAAGAAAUUACUUUAUAAAUAAGGGGUUUUAAUUGUACCAGUACGAGCAUUUUCUAAGACAACAUUUUAGAAUGAGGUUUGUGGCAGCACCAACUGUGUGUUAACAGCUAUUUUGACGAGUGCAUAUUUAAUUAAUUUAGAAUACUAAAUUUCUAUUCUAAAAUUGUUUUUGUAAUCUGCAUCCUGGUAGAAAAUUAAAUAAAGAAUUAGCCCCAAAAUAAUUACUUGAACUUAGCCUUUUUUUAAAGGCCAUAAUCCUAUGAAGAUUUAUAUCUCUGGGUAAUUUUAUCUGCUGGAGUAGUCUCCAAAGCUGCUCCCGUAGGUAAGUCUUUGUCACGCCAGGGCCCCCGUAGCAGCGUAGCUGACUGACGGAGGAGCGGACGCUGGGGUGGCAGCCGCCCCGCUGCAGAGCAGGGUGCUGCAGGCCCCCCCUCUGCAGCCACCCAUGAUGCUGGCUGCUCCCCGCCCCGCUCCCCGCCAGGGAGAUGGCGACUGCUCGGGCCUUGCCAGAGCGGGGGGCUGCCGAAAGGGCUGUGCCCCGAGCGCCACGGGCACGUCAUGCCCCACGGUGGGAGUGGGAGAAGGAAGAGUAGCUUUGGUCCGCGUUGCGCUGUGCAGGCAGGCGAACAGCCCUGCCUGGGUCUGCCUAUAACAGGAAGCAUUGCUCUGCUUAGCAAUACCCUAAAUUAAGUGACGAGGAUUGCCAUUUGAUUUCAGGUGCUCUUUCCAUAAAUAUUUAAGCCUACAGCCCUUGUACAUAUACAUAUCUCGGAACGGAAUGAAUAUAUACACACACAUGUAUAUGCACGUCUCCCCAAAGGGAGGCUGGAGCAUACCGUGAAAAGCCCCACUCUCCCAGACCUGACAGAGGCACGACUCCCACUCACCUUGGCAGGGGCCGUGCCGUUCCAGUGCGUAUUUAUGACGGGUGUUGUGAUUCCUCUUGCUGCCUGCAAAUUUGCCUAAAAUAAAUGCACACACUGUUGCACGUAGAUAUGUAUAGUUAUGCAGAUGCCUUUCCUCGGGAUCAGUUCUGCUUGCUUUCCACUUUUAAGACUACAUCUGAUUUUGAGGGGAGUGUAAGAUUUCUUGCCAUGACAGGUUAUUGCCUUUUGUGUCAGUUUAGGUGGCUUCUAGCGUUCGUAGGGUUUUAUUAAGGCAACCGGAAACAAUAAUACCUAUACAUCCACACAGCUACACACAUACUUUGCAGCUGUAAGAAUAAGCUAACUAGCCUUUUUUGCUGGGUUUUUACAUCACACUAGAAGUAAUGCAUACAACUGGAUUUUUAUGCAUCUUUUCAAAUAAAUAGUGUCUUUGCAUACACAAAAGGCUUUUUCUUCUCUUCCUUUUAAAAGAUUACUAUAUUUCUGAAAAGCACCCUUCCCCAGGUAUUACCCUUAGCUGUUAUGACACCUCACCAUUUAGUGUUGUGGAGGUAAAUGAUAUCACUCAGUAUUAAUAAUCAUAAAUUUUUACCAGAUUCAGCAUCUGCCUCCUGAAAGCUUUAACGGUGGAAACAUUUCCUGGGCUAACGCCCAUGAUGCUUGCAUGCUUUUUAUUGCUAUCAUUUAGAAACUAAAUUGCUCAAAAAUCAAAGGACUUGAUUAUCAUACACCUGCAAUGCAUAGACCUAUUUAUAAAUAUGGCUUGAUAAUAACAAUGACUCAAAGAAAUUUAAAUGAAAGGGCAAGAAUAAGAAGUCUAAAAGUGAAAACCCAAGCCAGAAUUCAUAGAGGUGAUGGGAAGAGUCUGACAUCAAAGGACAGAGAGGAUCCUAAGGAAGGUGAGGAGGAGAGGCUUGGAGGUGAUGGUAGAGGGUAGAUGUGCCACGGCUUUGCAGAGCCAGAGGGCAGAUGAGAGGAGAGGCGCCAGGGAUGGCAGGCGAGGAGGUAUCGCAGCGUGGCGCUGGGAGAAUGCGCCAGAAGUGUGGAAACCAGGGCUGGAACAUCACAAACAUUUGGUAGUUUGCUUUCUGGAAAAAACAGUAUCUAGUUAAAAGCAGCCAACAGAAAACAGGUGAAAUGUUCCAGAAACUAGAGGGGUUGAUUGAUGGGAAAAAUAAGAGCCCUGAAUAUACAGCUGAAAGGAUUUUAUAUAUAUAUAUAUAUAUAUGAAUAUGCAUACCUAGCCAAAAUUACAUAAUAAUGCUCAUAUAGAUAAAUGAAAUGAGUAUCCUGCUUUUGAAAUAAUUCACCUACAGAAACCAGUGGGAAUUUUCCAUUGAUUUCAGUGGGGCCACUGCAGGAAAGGCCUCCUGUCUGCAGGAAAGCGAUGUAGCCUGGUGUGUGCAAAUAGACCUAGGAGCUAUGUAGGGAGAAAAUGCAGCGUGGCUAUCAAGAAACGUUUCCUUUCAGUGAACCCAAUACCUCUCUAGCCAGCGGGGAUGAUAUAAAGUAACGGAGCAAUCUCCAGGCAGGAAAGCCCUCGCCUGGGAGAUAUAAAAUUAGCUUGGCCAAGACACCGCAGGCAGCAGUUGCCCUACGAGGGCUGGAGAGCCACCUCUUGCCUCUGACACCUCCAUGGAGUUCAAAUGGCUCUGAUAAUUCCCCGAUACUUUAUAUCACUAGUAAGAAAGAGGUAGGACCAUAAGAGGCUACUUAAACUUUCCAAGCUACUCUCUCAGAGUAUUUCAGAUUAAGUCAAACAUUCUUUUACCUGUUUCAAGGUCAACGGUCACCACAGUUAUUGUUCUGUAUCAGUUCUUCUGAGUUGUAUGUCAUGUACACCCCUUUCACAUUAUUACAUUAGGCAUGAAAUGUUGGAAAAAUAUAGCUGACUUUAAUAUUAAGAAUUGCUGAUUCAUAACCUUGUUUGGAAUAUUAGCAGUUCUCUUACUAAAUCAGGACAAUAUCAUGAAGUUUAUUAAUGUUCACAGGUCAGGCCUAUCUUUUAAAUCACUGAAAAUCAAUGACAAAGUGAUCACCAUGGAAUUGGUCUUCUCUAAUUAGAGAAAGAGGGACAUUCUGAACCAGAACUGUACAGCAUUUGAUUGUGCAGCCUGUUACCAAAAAAAGAACCAUCUCACUGCAUCUUACAGAGACAUUUACAUAGAUAAUGUAGAUUUCAUAUGACUUCUUCUGGAUUGUCUGAUAGUAAUAGCUUUGCAAGUAUUCACAUCCUCCUAACAAGAAGUUGAUAGAAAAUUCAAAUAAAAAAGGCAUCACUGUAAUUACUGCAUUAUAAAGGAUUUAUUUUAUUUUUUGAAGUUAGGUGGGAAAUAAUAAUAAGAGCAGGGAGGCUUGAUGCAUUAGUGCUUCACGUCAUCUGGAAACUCAUCCUUUAACAAUCAUUCUCCAGGAGAUAGCUUACCUUGUUACUCCAAGAAAAUGUAGACCAGUAUUACCUCUUCAUCAAAUUACCAAAAACAUUCUUCUGAAAUCCAAAAUUAUACAGUUCAAUGCCUGCUGUUUUACUGGAGCAACAGUUAUUAUAGUCUUGAUGCUCUGGUUGUUAAAAAUGAUAUUACUACAGGGAAAAAUUAUUUCUUGUUCCCCUACUUUCUUUCCUCCACCGCCUGGCUGUCCCCCUUCCUCUUUGUGAUACAUGCAAAAGGCUUGAGGGGAUGAAAGGGUUCUUCUUUCUCAACAUGUUUUAUUUUAGAAAUGUCAGGAUCAUUUAAUUUCCUCAUUUUUUUCUGAAUAUCUUGAACUAUAGAGAAGAGCAGUCGAAACUUUCUCAGACCCUGGUUUAAGAGGUAGUGAUUUUUUCCAUUCGCGAGAGAGACCUUUUUCCCUGCAUGUUUGCCAGGGGGCCGAGUUAUGCAGCGGACAAUAACAUAACUACUUUUAAGGUUUCAGUACAAUCAUUUUCUUUUUUACUGCGCAUGUCGUAUUGUUCUUUGUUUCGUUAUGACAUCAUGUGGCUGUCAUACAGGUGAUAACAUAAACCCGUUUGCCUUCAGCCAUUCAUAGAGCCCCUGGGUGAACACAGGAUCUGCAAAUCCUGCUCUGGGAAGCAAGAAACAAACCCACUCCCUUUUGCUCUCAUCAUUUCUGCGUAUGUGAAUUCUUAGCAGUGAAGAAUGCAGGACCAGUCCAGACCCUCAGUUAGAGAUGAAAAUAGACAUGUUUAAUUUUCAUUUGCGGGAGCUGCAGUGAGUCAGUGCUGCUCGCUCUGCUCCAGCCUCCCUGGUACAGAGGGAGGAAAAACUCCAACGAGGGAAAGGAGGCUGAAUGGGUGUGAUGCAAGAAUCCAAGGAAAGCAAACCGAAUAAAUAAUUUCUCCUGCAAAAUACUUAGCUGGAGUUUUUAUGUUUUAAUUUUUACCAAAGUAUUUCACAUUUCUUGGAUGCAAAACUUAAAUAUGUGCCCUGUAGAGAGGCUUGGAAUAAUAUCUCUGCUUUCGCUAAUAAAAUCUCUCUUCCGAGAUUAACUCUGGAGCUAGCAGUAAGGUCAGUAUUUCAUUUCAUAGAAGUCAGCUCACACUGACAAGGGUUUGGCCUUCUUAGUGAUGGGCCGUUUGCUGCUCAGAAGUGUGAGGAAUGGCUUUCUGAAAUAUCGAUAGCUUGCCUUCGCUAGAGUUCAUGAUCAAAUUUAACCGACAAGUAUCAAUGCGCUACAGCACCCGGACUGAGGGGCUGAGAGGCUUGGGCCUUGGGCCAGCCGCUAAGGUUUGCUUUUUAAAUCAGAGGCUAACUCCUCCAUUAGUGGAAAUCAGUGGUUUAUAACAACAUCAAGUGAGAUUUGUGCCAGAGUAGCCCAGACUACAGCCUGGUCUUGGGAUUUGAAAAGGAAUAGAAAAAUUAGGCCGUGACCAUUACUAUUCUGUUUUCAUUUGGUUUUGGUGCGCGUGUGUGUAAAUGUGCUAUCCACACAUGCAGAGCUGCACUUCAUUCCCGUGGAUGUUUCCCAUGGCCGUACGGCUGCCGUUUAACAAGGACCUAAGAGCACGAAAUCUUCAUCCUGGUGUGGUUUGACUGACGUGUGCAGAGAUCUCACAGAAAGGCUCUGGAAUCCCACUUUUCAGCCAUAAAAGGAAAGCAGGCAAGCUUCAUCCCGGCUAAACCCUUUGCACAAUAUACAUCAAUAAUGAGGCAGCAUCUAUUUAUAUAGUGCUCGGUGGAAAUGACUGAAUUCAGACAGAAGUUGGUGAGGCAGCCUGAGCUCCACCAGCCUCCAUGGAGUCUAUUGUUAGUACCCAGGAUGACUCCUCAGGCAAACGGGGAAGAGAGGCACGAUUUGGAGCCUACCACGCCACGGGGAAGAUUAUCAGCUUCGGCACUUGGCGGGUGGUGUCUCCUCUCAGAGAAUGCCUUCGAUGGCUCUGCCAGGACCCGCCAGUCACGGAGGAGAAAUACAGGAGAAAUGGUCGCAAGAGCAGGGGGGCAAGAGCGCAGCCCCAUUGCUGCUCCCCGGGAAGCGGCAUACUGACAGGGUGGGAGCUCCCUGCCUUUCUUCAUGAGAAAAGGAGGUGUCCGAGAGGGAACGGGAGGAAGGCAGUACUAGCUUGAUAAACACCGAUGCCUUCUUGCCAUGUCAUCGCAGAAGGCUUUCAACAGUACUUUUCACCUAGAAAAAAAAAAAAAUGCGGUAAAAAAGCCCCCUCCAGCAUUAUGACAUUGGUUAGGCAGGUCUGUGUGGCUGAUAGCCCAGCGACAAGGCUGAGAUGCAGUGCCGACACAUGCCCGUGACAAUGAAAACUUGCUUGUCUAGGAGAUGUUUAGCAUAAAUAAGGCACUCGAAACGCCUUAGCAAAGCACAACCCAGACAGUGCUUUUGCUCCGUGUCCUUUUUUACUCCUCCUUUCCUCUGUGGCUCUUGUGUACUUUGCCCAUAUGCUCUAAAGCUAUUUUGUUUUCUGUUUUAUGUGUGUUUUAUGUAAAUUAGAGGAAUCAAGUUUCUCUGCUGUCUAAAUUAUAAAUUGAGUGGAAAUUGGCUGACUCUCUUUAGACUAUGUCUAUAAGCUAUACAAAAUAUAAGUAACCAAGCUGAGCAGGCUGGGUUGGGGAGGGAAGACACAACAGCAUGGGCCACGUGAGCCUCCGUCCACGCGUCCUCAUAUACUGCUGCUUGCCUUUGCAGCUUUGAAUAUCUCUUUCCACUAAAGUGCCGAUCUAACUCCUUUUAGACCAUUCUCUGAGAAGUAGGUUUAUUGCCUCCUUUGGUAGUUUGCUCAGCAUAUUCAUUACGCCCUGUAUAAAUGAACUGCUCUUAAAUGCUUGUUUCCACUCUCCUGCUCUAGGACCAGAGCAGAUCCAGACAGCCUCCUCUGGGAGCGCUGAUUCAUUUCGUUUCCCUUCUUCCCCUUGUAAGUCAAAACUCCUGUUGAUUUUAGUGACUGUCUCUUUGGCUUACUCCCUGCUUUGGCUCUACUUCCCCCAUCCCACGCUAAUUUUCGUACAUUUGAGUUUUGCCCUGGGUUAUCUUUUCCUUAGUAGCCCACUGCAACGGCACGGAGUAGGACCGUGGUGUAAGAGCGGGAGCCUGGCAGCGCCUGGCAGCCUGAGAAACGCUGCCGGGAGAGCGAGGGAAUCGGCUGGUGUCUUGGGACUCCGUGAGAUGGUGGAGAAGCUGCUACAGGGCCGGACAAGACAGCCUCGCUGUGGCCUGUUACUGCACAGUUAGACCAAGUUUCAAGAAAAAGGGGCCUAAAAUCAGACCCCUAAAUCUAUCCUGACACAUUUCAAAGUUGGCUGAAUUUUGGGAGCCAGGUAGGACCAGCGUUAUCAUAAGCAUAUGUAGAGCCCUGCUUUACAGUCUGACUUCCGGGUUCCUCUUAAAAUGUCAGUUUUCAGACGAUUGUGACAAACCAAACUGCCUCUGAAAGAGGAGGCCGACUGCACCCUCAGCACGGGCAGGGAUGUCUGGCAGUCAGUGGCCGCGCUGGCCCCCGCGCUCUGCCGGCGUGUCCAGCAGCGCUGACCGAGGGCUGCCUUGUGCUGCUGCCGGCAGCCCGUCCGCCCCAGCGCCGAGCUGCGGCGGGGGCAGAGCUCGGGAUAGCUCUGCUUUCCGCCCUUUUUUCCAUGCCAGCCGGAGAAUGGAAAAAAAGGUCUUCGGAGAGGCAGUGUAGUGCAGUUCUCAUGAUAUCUUGACCAACGUUUUAAGGCUGGCAUCAUGGAGACUGUGAAUGCCAUUGCCAUGGAAAAUUCAGGUCAGAAACGAAUGGCUGCAGGGGAGUAAUUGUGGGCGGUGGGUGGGUGGGCUCUGCAGGCACGUCCCAGGGGCCUUCAUGGAAUGCGCAGCCCUGUGCGCCUGCGGGGUCCUGGGGUGCCCAUGUGGGUCCCCAAAUCCUCCCAGCCCAGCCUGGCCGCUGAGAUGUGCCGCUCUUCGGGCACAGUGCGCUCCGCUGAUUCUGGCGGGGUUGAAGCAUGUGCUUUGUAAAGGGGAUCCCAGCUGAGUCGGUUGUGCCCGAUUAGACGGACGGCCUUCAGGAGUCUGGCGCUAGGACGUGAAGGGCGCAAAGAGAUCCUCUCUGCUCAGGCUCUGCCCUUGCAGUUGUUUGAAUUUGGGCUCUCUUUCACUGAGUUCACAAAAUACAUGCCUUUUUUUUUUUGAAUUCAUUAAAUACUUUGAUUCAGUGAUAUACUCUGAGAGCAUGGUUUAUUCUGUCCAGUCAAAUGUUUACUGAGAAGUGAUAAAAAAUACCCGACCUGCCUUUUUUAGAGCUGCUUAUUUUAUUUCAAAGGGCAGGCAUAACCUGUCAUUUCCUGGUGUGAUUUUUAUUAAACCUCUGCCUAUUUUAUUUGUCAGACCACAUAUAAAUUUACUACCAGUUGUGUUUCCAAAUAAAAGACAUAUAGGUUGGUAAGCAGUCUAUAAGUCAAGCUGCUACUCCUUGAAACUCAUAAAAGGAUCAUUUUAAUCCAUGGAAUUGCUAAUUAAAGCUGCUUCUCAAAACACAAAAAUUAAGUUAACAGUAAUUAAUGUAGCCAGCCUGGAACCUUAGGAAGCUACUGCCAGCAAGUGUCUUUUGGUGCACUCAAGAGGAUGCAGUUUGAUUGUUGGCACCAACAGACAGGUUGGGAAUUGUAAACAUGGUAAUUAGCAGUAAGUUUCUGGAUCUCAACUUGCCAGACUGGCAGUCUGAUUCUUGGAGUAGUUGUCGCAUGGGAGGAGGGAAAAACAAAGUAAGGGAAUUAGAGCAACCUUGCAUUGCUCCGCCAACAUAUGCCACUGGACCAAUGUUUUUCUUGGCAAAGAUCUCUGACAAGGAGUUUAAAAGCAGCGUUGCAGCCCUACUGCAAACUGUGAACCUCACUGCAGGCAUCAACCAAGCAACUGGCUCUGGCUCUUCUGCUCAAACUAUGAGUGUUGCUCCAUGGAAAGGAAUUGUAGAGGCUGAGAUUCCCUUGCUCCACCUCUACAGCAGGGCACAGUGUUGAUAAGGUUAUCAACAAUAAUGGGAUUAAAAGAGUUAAAAUCCAGCUUUUGCAGUAAUCCCAGAGUAUUCUAUUGUUGAGCUAUCAAAGAUUAAGGUUAUAGUGACCUUAUUAACCCUUGGUGUAGUGUAAAUAAAAAGGAAAUGUCAACCCUAAUUCCACCAUGAAAUUAAAUCUUCACUUCUCUAAAUGAUGAUUCAAACACAGCUUACUCCAGCCAAUGUGGUUUAUGAAAAUACGGAACCCACGUGAAUUAAAAUGUCCCAUCUGAGAGAGAGAGGGAGAAAAGGGUGAAAAGUGAGAAAAAGGGUGGAAAGGGAGAAAAGUGGUUGCUGAACCUUCUGGAAGCAGAGAGCCAGGUGCUGGUGUGAAGGGCACAGGUUUUCCUGGCCAAGCUGAUUUCCAGGGGGUGGGAGCUGCCUCUUCCGGCAAUGGAUGGUGCCCUCCUCACCUGUGCUGGACACAGCCCCUGCUGCCCCUGCCCACAGAGGUUAAAUCUGUCAGCAGGUCUGAAACUGCCCCCCUAGGACUGGCUCUGCUGCCUGAAGAGAGGGACUGACUGACUGACUGACUGACUGACUGGGCUCUGCUUGGGACGUGGUGCAGGUAAACCUGUAUUUCCUUGUGGGGAGCAGGAGGAGAAUUACAGUAGGCAGAAACAGGCUGUGUGCCCUUUGUUAUGCUUUUUUUGACUGGGAGGAAAAAUAAAAAUAAAGUAGUGGUAAAUGGGGUGAUUCAGAAUGAUUCUGCGUAUUAAAAAAAUCAAACGCUUACUCUGAGUGUCUAGCAGAGAGGUAAUUAAGUAUUAAGGAGCUGCCUCUAGCAGGAAGUGGGCUCUCUGGAGGGCAAGAGGCAUUGCCAGAGAAAAGAGAUGUUUUUAGUGGGGUUAGUGGGGCUGUUCCCAGCAAAAGGGGCUUUGCCACUAGCGAUCUGCUCUGUGGCAGCUACAUCUCCUGGAAAUUACUGGAUCUGUGGAUUGAUAGUGCUGGGGAGUGGGUACGCUCUGCCUCCUCAUAUUGCUUACCCCAGUCCUCGUGAACUCUGGUGAAGUUGCAUUAUGAAGCUCAGACUCAUAAAAGAGCUCAGUUUAGGAUGGGUUUUUUUCCCACUGCUCACUGAAUCAUACUCUUCUCUGGUGUAAAUUGUCACAACUCCGGAGCGUGCCCCAGCUCAGAUGCGCCCGCUGAGUCCUGGGCUGCCUCCAUACCCGCUGCUGCUGCAAUUGCCACCACAAACACAAACUGGCUCGCUCUGGCUCUUCUUGCCUUUCCCCAGUGUAGGAAUAGACAGUGGGCCCAUAGGGUUGCUCAGAAAUAUUACUGGUUUCUAGUGCUGGCAUAAUGCUCCCUUCUAGGUAGUAUCCCUUUUCUGGACAAUUUCCCAGUAAAAUAGUAAAUGGCAACUGCAGAGCAGUAAAGGCGGUAGUGUAUUUGUUUGACUGACAUUUCAGAGCCUGCAGAGCAAAUGCAAUUAGGACCUACAGUGUGUUGCAGCUUCCUUUCUUCAUUUCCCUGCUCUGGAAGAGCUGCUGUUAGGUUCAGUUUAAGCCUGGUCCCCACUCCAUGUCAGCCUUAGGUGGAGGGAGGGCGGCGUGUUCCCGAGCCCCUGCAGGCACCCUCUGCGUUGGGAGCAGCAGCAUCUCGCAGGGCUCAGGUGGGAUGGGCGCUGCUGCUGCUCUGCUGCUGGCACUGCAGCCCCGGGCAGGAGCGGAGGGAUUUCGUUAGUAGGUGCGAGCUUCCCUCGGACUCAGCAGAGUUGGCACCACGGUGGCCCUGCAGCGCUCAGACCUGCGCCGACCAGGGAGAAAUCCCUGACGGUGCCCGUGGGUCUGUGCCAGGCAGUGCAACCCACGGUUUGGGCUACGCCAGUCUUCACCAGGGGCAACUGGUGCUUUCUCUGGAGUUUUCCAGGGUCAACAGUUGAUGCCCCGUGAACACUUGAUACACACCUGGCAUCAGAAAGAGGUGGAAAAAAAAAAUCACCAUAAUCGUUCAGAUUUCACCGAAGGAGGUAAUUGAGAACAAAUUGCUACCAAAAGCCAAGGGCUGCGGUUAAUUGCGGUGGAGCACUGCGGGUCACUCACCUGUAGGGAAAGACUGCUAGGGAACAGGCAGGGGGCAAAAUUGUUUCUCUCCUGGUGGGGAAAGAGGGUCUUGGCCAUGUAAUUUGGUUUGUAGGGUUAUUCUGUAACUCAUAGACUUUUACAUGAAAAUCCAACCCACAGUGCAGUGCUUUAAUCUCUAGAAAUAAUGCGGUGGGUGAAGGCAGGGGCGGCUGCGGCUUGCCGCGGUGGCAGGGUGGCGGCCAGGCUGCACCAUCCCUCCUGCCACGGGCAGGUCCGAGCUGGCCCCCGCAGGCAGCGCAUGGCGGGAGAGGCACGGGCAGCUGCCAAGUCCCCUCUCCACUGGGUCCUACUCGAGGGAGGGACAUGUAAAUCCUGCACUUGGCUGAAGAGAGGGGCACGGUGGAGGCUGCAACGUGUGCAGAGCCACCACGCUACCAGCCCGCUCCAACCGG